rnacentral:rRNA from 1 species
UACGGAGGGUGCGAGCGUUGUCCGGAAUCACUGGGCGUAAAGGGCGCGUAGGCGGCCUGAUAAGUAGGGGGUGAAAUCCUGCGGCUUAACCGCAGGGCUGCCUUCUAAACUGUCAGGCUAGAGCACAGUAGAGGCAGGUGGAAUUCCCGGUGUAGCGGUGGAAUGCGUAGAGAUCGGGAAGAACAUCAGUGGCGAAGGCGGCUCACUGGACCGGUAUUGACGCUGAGGUGCGAAAGCGUGGGGAGCAAACAGG